rnacentral:snoRNA from 1 species
UGAUGACAUUCUCCGGAAUCGCUGUACGGCCUUGAUGAAAGCACAUUUUGAACCCUUUUCCAUCUGAUUGCUGAGGCUUUUCAUC